UACGAAGGGGGCUAGCGUUGCUCGGAAUCACUGGGCGUAAAGGGUGCGUAGGCGGUCGGGUAAGUCUGAUGUGAAAUCUCACAGCUUAACUGUGAAACUGCAUUGGAUACUAUCCGGCUCGAUGAAUGGAGGGGAGACUGGAAUACUUGGUGUAGCAGUGAAAUGCGUAGAUAUCAAGUGGAACACCAGAGGCGAAGGAGAGUAUCUGGAGAAUUGAUUACGCUGAGGCACGAAAGCAAGGGGAGCAAAAGGG
rnacentral:rRNA from 1 species